AUGGCAUUGUUGGACUGGAUUGAGUUGUCUGAUGACGAGGAGGUGACAGUCAAAGAAAAACUUCCUCCAGAAAAAGUCAAAGAAGAAUUUCCUCCAACAAAUGUCAAAGAAGAAUUUCCUCCGACAAGAGUGAAAGAAGAACUGGAUACUCAUAUACAUGGGACAGCGCAGUUGGAAGUAGAAAUUGUUGAUUUAACCAUAGAAGAAGCUGACGUUGAAGAGGAUAGGAAUGCUCACGGGAAAGGGGAUGCUGCUCAGGGGGCAACAACAUCACAUAGACAACAGUUUCUUGCACCUCAUGGACAAGGCGAGGCAGCUCAGACAGUGGUACCAAGACAAGAGUUUCUUGCUGCUGCUAAUGGUGUGGAAGAGUUUCUUGUAAUAGGUGAUGUUGCACAAGAGGCUAUGCAGUCUGGAAAUCAGGAUUUUGCUGCAGCAGUUGAUUGCGCAGAAGAGGCCACGCAUUCUGAAAAUGCAGAUGAAGCUGGCCCAUCAUUGUUUACAGAACAAGGUGCCGCGGCGGGUGAUUGCGGUGAAGAGGCUAUGCAGCCUGGAAAUCAGGAUUUUGCUGCAGCAGUUGAUUGUGCAGAAGAGGCCAUGCAGUCUGAAAAUGCAGCUGAAGCUGGUCCAUCGUCGUUUACAGAGCAAGGUGUUGCAGCAGGCGACUGCAGUGAAGAAGCUUUGCAGCCCGGAAAUCAGGAUUUUUCUGCUGCAGUUGAUUACGCAGAAGAGGCCAUGCAGUCCGAGAAUGCAGCUGAAGCUGGGCCAUUAUCGUCUACUGGACAAGGUGUUGUAGCAGGCGAUUGCAGUGAAGAGGCUAUGCAGUCUGGAAAGCAGGAUUUUGUCGCAGCAGUUGAUUGCGCAGAAGAGGCUAUGCAGUCUGGAAAUGCAGUCGAAGGUGCCCCAUCAUCGUUUACAGAAGGUGUAGCAGCAGGUGAUUUUGCUGAAGAGGCUAUGCAGUAUAACCAUGAAGACAAAGCUGCUGAAUGCUCGUCAAUGACACGACAAGCUGCUUCAUCAUCCUUGUCAAUGACAGAACAAGGUGCUACUACAUCCUCACUAAGGACAGCGCAACAGAGUCACAAGAGAGAUGCAUUGAUAGAUUCCCCUCCCAUCGCAACUGUGGCGCCUUUUCCCCGGCAAUUCUGGAAGGCUGGGGAGUACAAGGUUGCUUCCCGAGCUUCCAUCAACAAUGGCCAGAACUGCUUAAGGAUUAAUCCCAAGUUUCUUCACUCGAAUGCUACGUCACACAAGUGGGUAUUUGGUGCUAUUGCAGAACUGCUCGACAACGCUGUUGAUGAGGUGCAGAACGGGGCAACCUAUGUGAAAAUAGAUAAAAUGAAAUAUUCUCCUGUUGGAGAGUAUUCGUUAAUGAUACAAGAUGAUGGAGGCGGUAUGAGUCCUGAGUAUCUUCGACAUUGUUUGAGCUUCGGAUUCUCCAAUAAAUGCACGGAUUCAUCAAUUGGACAAUAUGGAAAUGGCUUCAAAACCAGCACAAUGAGGCUUGGGGCAGAUGCUAUCAUAUUCAGCUGCAGAAAAGCUAAUAGAUUGACACGAAGUGUUGGGCUGCUCUCUUACACAUUCCUCAAAGGAACCGGCUGCGAUGACAUAUUAGUGCCAGUGGUUGACUAUGAAUUUGAUCCUUCAUCCCGCAAUUUCAAGAGGAUAAUGGACCGUGGUGAAAAACAUUUUUCUUCCAAUUUGUCCACUCUUUUGAGGUGGUCUAAAUUUUCUACAGAAGAUGAUUUAUUGAAUCAAUUUGAGGACAUGGGAUGCCAUGGCACAAAAAUUGUUGUAUUCAACUUGUGGCUCAAUGAUGUGGAUGAAAUGGAGCUUGACUUUACAACUGAUGAUGAGGAUAUUAUGAUGUCAGGAGCGCCUAAGAUACCAGAAGAACGCGCGAAAGUGAAAAGGUUGAAUCAUAUGCAUAUUGCAAAUCGCUUUCGAUAUUCACUUCGUGUUUAUGCAUCUAUACUAUACCUUCGUCUACCACAACACUUUAAAGUCAUCUUGUGUGGACGAACUGUUGAACCUCAUCAUAUUAUAAAGGACCUCAUAUACCGUGAAUGUAUCAAAUAUCGACCACAAGUUGGAACAAGCGUACAGGUUGAUGUCAUUACUUCAAUUGGCUUCUUAAAAGGAGCUCCACACCUGGAUAUCUAUGGAUUUAAUGUCUACCAUAGGAACCGUCUUAUUCUGCCAUUUUGGGCUGCAGGCUCUGAGAGAGGUCGAGGCAGAGGCAUUGCUGGGGUUUUGGAGGCGAACUUCAUACGACCUACACAUGAUAAGCAAGAUUUUGAGAAGACGGAACUUUUUCAGAGACUUGAGACGAGAUUAAAAGACAUGACAAUGGAGUAUUGGAGGCACCAUGCUCAUUUGAUUGGCUACCAGCCAGUCACAAAAUCUCUUCCUCCAGCAUAUUAUACAUCUAUUGCUGCUACCAAUGACAGCUCAGUAGCCCAAGCUACAGCAACAACUUAUGCCAGGAACUCAAGAGCCAAGGCAUCUGGAGUGUUGAACUCCCGUUUCAAUGGAGGUAACUCAUUAAAUCCUUUGCACGUUGGUGCCUUGAGGGAUCAAAUGGACUAUGGUGCAUGUUCUUUAGCAAGGAGAAAUAUGAGGACUUCAUUAUAUAUGCCAAGCACACCCCAGCAAACUGAACUCUGCAAAAGAAGAAACUCUGGCUCGAUGAUUGAAAUGAGGGCCCAAAAAAGGCACAACACGAAUGGCGAUGCUGACCACGUUGGAAGCGUCAAUGUUGUUGAGAUAGGAGAGGAAAGGAGCAGUCUCUUACUUUGUCAGAACAUGAUGCUAAAGGCCGAGUGUUCUGAGCUGGAGGCGGCCGGGCAGACUCUCCGAAGCAAGGCGGACAGGUUGAUGGGUGAACUCCGCGAGUGGCAACGGAAGCGGAGGAGCCUGACGGACGAGUUGGAGUUCUACAACGGCCUCAGCGCGAUACAGCGCAGGAUCCCCAUCGCCAGCACCUCCUCCAUGGGAGUGGGAUGGAUCUGA
rnacentral:rRNA from 1 species